GGAGUGGGAAGGGAGCAGACCUGGCAGGGAAGCCGGGUACGAAACUUGCAGCGGUGAAAAGCAAAGCGUGUCCAGACAGAGACUGAGGAAGACUGUGUUGCCCGCUUUGCACCGUCAAAUGUCCGCCCGAAAACAAACAUACUCGACAGGGUUUGGAGAGCUGUGGGACGUGAAGGUGGAGCUUAGGGGCUGGCACUUAUAAAACAGAAAAUUACAUUUCAAGGAGAUAGGAAGUUCAAAGAAAGUAUCUUCCUCAUUCAAACAAUCCCCAAGUGCUGCAGCCUGCAGCAGCUUGAACAGUGCUUGCAGCAUUCCCCAAGGACCCCUGCACAACAGCAUUAUCAGGAGUUCAGUGCAAUUAUGGCAGAUCGAGGCUCGCCUAAAGGACCUUCCUGUCCUGUCCCCAUCCCAGCUGUGAGCCCCCAUUGGAGGUUUAUGCAUCUGCACGGUAAGGGGGAUCAAGGGGGCUGAAAGCUAACAAGAAAAUGAAAUGUGGUUCCAAGGCUGUCACUAGGAGACGCUGCCCGGAGAAGGGGGAACUGCCUCUACAUGUGACCACUUAGAUAAAACAGGUUAGUUUGGGAAUGGACUGCGAGACCUCCAAUCUGCAUCGUUACAUUUUCAAGAAAAUUUCCAUUAUAUAUGUAUCUUCCAGGUAGAGAAGUAGAGCAUAACUACAUUCUAGCUUGCACUCAUCCCUUUUUCCUGACAGGUGGGGGGGAAAAAAGGGGUCUUUCUAGCAUGUCUGUUAUUUAUGGGGCUGAACUUGUGGUGGAGCACCAUACUAAAUGGCCUUUCCUCUGCAAACCCAGUAGAGGUUGGUAACAGAAAUUUCCAACAGGAGUGAGAAGUUUGGAGGGAGAGGGCAAGAUUUCUUACUUGUUUUGCCCGUGGAGAGUAAUCAUUUAUCAUGAGAGCUGAUGACUGUAUCUUGUUGGUCUUGCAUGUAAAUUAGAACAGCAAGUGACAGGUAGUGUGAAUUUAAGUAUUUGUAAAGCAUUGCAGUAAAGAAGUAGUAACAGUAGAGCUGAACACGAAGUAUUCUUAAGAGUGAAUUGGGUAAGCUUUGGGGCACAUGUUUUCUUUCUUUGUUUUUUGUUCCCCUUGCCUUCGUUACACAACUGCAUAUGCAAAGAAGUGUGUUGGAUCAAAAUAAGCAAAGCAGCAGAGUUCAUGUAUAAUGCUGCGGUAACAGAAAGUGCCCUCUAACAAUUACUUCCUGCAGAGAGAAAAAGAAAAGAAAAAGCCUGAAAGUCAUUACUGAAACUUGUUAUUUCAGGUAGAGAGCUGAAGUCCGGUGUUCCCUAACUUCUGCACAGGUAUAAAGUGGAGUUCUUCGUAGAUUGGCAUGAUUAGAGAGGUUGUAAUCCUUGGCCAACCAUGCUGGCAAAGACUCAUCAUUUGUUUACUGCAGCUUUGUGACAUUUCAAGGACUGUGUUUCACUUAUCGUUCCUCUCAUGGAUAGUUUUUGUCAGCUGAUCCAGAAUGAAAAUAGAUGGGGUGGAUUUGCACCUGGUUUUCGGUCUUCUAACUUUGAGGUUGGAAUAUGAAGAUGACAGGGUCCACAAGCUGGUCUUCCUGCUGUGUGAUAGACCAGUGAGAGAUGUCACUGUAUGCCAAAUACUGUAUGCCAAAUGUGAAACAAAAUAAUAAAAUAAAAGAGAGAUACCAUUCACAAUUUUGGAAGUACUCAUGAAGGAAUUACAUAAAACAAUGGAAAAAGUGGAACUUGGAGACAAAAUAUAGACAAGAGUGAACAAAAUGGGGAAUGAGAAAUUUAAAAUACAUAAUUGACUUUCUUGGAAAUCUUGACUGGUUUGCAUGAAAUCAAUUUGUACAUGAAUAUUUGACAGCUGUGGUAAGACCAACAAUCCAGUGAGAACAAGGCAUACAAACAACAUAAUUGAGAAAGUUUAAAAGAACAGUUUUCUGUGCGUGGCUAAACUUACAUAUUUAUGGUGCAAGAGAACACAACUUAAAUGUAUUUCCACUAGGAGGACAUCUGUCUCAUAGAUUCAGAGAAUCACAGACUGGUCAAGAUUGGAAGGGACCUCUGGAGAUCACCCUGUCCAACCCCCUGCUAAAGCAGCUUCACCCAGAGCAGGUUGCACAGAGUUGCCUGCAGGUGGGUUUUGAAUGUCUCCAGAGAAGGAGACUGCACAGCCUCUCUGGGCAGCCUGUCCCAGGGCUCUGUCACCCUCGAGGUAAACAAGUUCUUCCUCAUAUUCAGACGGAACUUCUUGUGUUGCAGUUUGUGCCCAUUGCCCCUUGUCCUGUUGCUGGGCGCCACUGAAAAAGGCCUGGCCCCAUCCUCUUGGCACUUGUCCUUAACAUAUUUGUAUGCCUCAACAAGAUCCCCUCUCAGCCUUCUCCAGGCUGCACAGGCCCAUCUCUCUCGGCCUUCCCUCAUGAGGGAGAUGCUCCAGCCCCCUCACCCCCUUGGCAGCCCCCCGCUGGCCCCUCUCCAGUCGCUCCCUGUCUCUCCUGAACUGGGGAGCCCAGCGCUGGGCACAGCACUCCAGGUGCGGCCUCAGCAGGGCAGAGCAGAGGGGCAGGACACCCCCUCCACACCCCUCCACCCGCUGGCCACAAUCUUGUCAGUUGUUAUGUAAACUGCUAGUCUGGUGCUAAGCUUCCUAUUUGCGUUUUGCUGACAUUGCAGACUUUAGGCUUGUUGGUGUAACAUAUGUAUCUAAUAUAAUUUCAUGCUAUGUUGUCUAGUAUUGCUACUUGUAGAUGGGAGUAAAAAAGAAUUCAGUACCAGCACUUUUUUCCCAGCAUAUACAAACAAACCAAUGCCAGCUUAAGACCAUGAACCUAAAGUUCCUUUAGACGUUACUUACAUGUACAACAUUAGCCUCUUGUCCUUACCUUGUUCCUUCUUUAUCAUCAAGCUAUCAACAUCUACUCAUAAUUUCCCACUACUACAUUCUUUAUAGCAUUUCAUCCAAUUUCUGUAAAAUAGGGAGUGCUUUGGUUAUUCCUGAAUGUUCUUUCAGUUACACUUUCACUGUACAUUAUCUGUUAUUGUGGGUUCCUCUUUUAUAAUAGCAGUGUUGCUCUGCUAGCUGGGAUCAGCUGAAAAUUUUCCAAGAGGUAAGCUAUUUUUUACCAAAAUUUCCUCAGCUAGAAACAGAACAUGCUGCUCUGUCCCUCUGGACAGUCAGUCUCUCUGUACAACACCUUCAUAAAAGUACUUUAUAUGUGAUUCCUGAGAAACUGCAGAAGUAUGAGAUCUGAACACGAGUUUUCUGUACUCCAGUGGGAGUUCUUUUCUAAUAUUUCAGCUGUGAAUAAAUUUAUAGACUAGUAGGUUCCAUUCCUGGACUAGGUGCUCCAUUCCCUCAGGAAAUCAUAAUCUAUGCAUUUUCAAGCGUUGAGGAUUUCUAGGGUUAAUAGCCUUGGUUGGCCCUUAAAGCUAUAGUAUUUGAAGCCUUAAGCUACAACAGCUGUCCAAGAGUAAACUUUUUGGUAAUGUUGCAACACAAAAUUAGCUGAAACUGGCAGAUGCAGAAUGUGUUCAGAAGAUAAGGACCAAGGAAACAAUUCUGAGAUAACGUGGCAACUUCAGAGGGCAGCCAGCCCACCAACCAAGAAAACCAAUAAGGAAUCAAGAGACCAUCGACCAGAAUUAAGUGAUUGGACUUGGGGAUCAGGUAAUGCGUGGUACAUUCCAGGAAAUCUGUCUCUGAAGGUAUAAUUGCAGUGCAUGGUCUGCAAUGGGGGCCCCUCUUUGGAGGCACCCAGCUCAAGCUGCUCAGCAUGUUGGAUAAAUAAACCACUUAUUUACUCAGUCGAUUGGCAACCCAUCUUCUUCAAGCAGGAACCUACAGCUGAGUUCUCUUGAGGUGGCAUCCAUGCAAUUCCUAAUAUGGACUGGGUGGCAGCUCCAUAAUUCCUGCAACACAAGGUUGUCUUAAACUUGUAAAUUUAGUACACAUGAACCUAUAAUAAGAAUUGUCCCCUGGUAUAUGUUAUUACUUGUGUGGGACUUUACUGUAAGCUUAGACAUCACAUAGUCAUAUAAACUGCACAUUACCAUAAAUCACAGGGGUUUUAGUCAUAUUACGACAUACAACUGCCUGUGAAGCAGCUCCUAGAAUCAGUACUAGUGUACUGUAGAGUAAGAGUAUACUUUCAUUUUUUUCAGGAGUUUCAUCUUUGUCCACAGGCUUUUGCAGAUGGCUUAGGCUCUUGGAAAUGUAGCAGUUUCACCAAAAGGAUGGAUACUGCUGGGAUGUGUAUUUUAUUGCACAUUUUAUACAUUCUUUUGCAGUGCCCUUUCCAGAGUCAUCCUAUUGAUUUUGCAGACUUAAGCUUCAAAAUCUGUCUUGUUUCUUUAUGUUCCCAAGAGUUUGUGGUUUGGUCAUGCAGUCCAUCCAUUAUUGUUCUGCCCUGGAGCGUAAAUAUGGGGUCCUAAUUACAGUCUAGUCAAUUUACAUUCUGUAAUUCACCACUCCUUUUUUUAUUAUAAGUUUAAAUCUGAGUUCUAUGUAAACUUUUUGUUUAGAUUUGAGUAUGUCAUGUCUAUCACAGAUAGGUGCUGCACAAGAGAUUGUGUAAGACUUUGAGACUGGUAAAAUUGAGGUCUCCUAUAAGAAUUUCUUAAGUUUUCUCUUCAUACCUGGUAGCUUUUAACAGCUUCUUACUGUCUAGGUCAAGGAUACUUAGUAACUUUCCUUAGUACUGUCUGAUAAAUGUAUAGUUUCACUUAUGUAUCAAUUAUUAAAGUAAUAUCGAAUAUCCAGGACAAAACAACUUUCUUCUCACAUUUGUUUUGUUUUCAGCAGCUCUAUUGAGCCUUCCUGAGAGACAAAAUUCCUGCUGUAUCUCUUAGAAUUUUUUUCCAUUGGUCUUUCUUUUCCUAAGCCCGGUCUUACCAUGUCAAGUAACUACCAUAGGUGGUAGUGUUUUGCAGCAGAGAUAAAUAUUAAAAAUAUUAAAAAAAAAAUAAAAAAUGCAGGAAGUAUUUACCUCUUAAUCAUGAGUUGCAAGUAAGAAGCUUGUGAGAAAGAACAGGUUUCAUUUCUUGCUCUCAGUACCGUAGUAAGCCCUCAAGAGCAGCUCUGUUCUCUUAAAAGGUUUUCAGCCCUCACGAGAAUUAAUCUUUUGCAAAAUAUCACACCUUUUUCCUUGUGAAGAGUCCAGAAGAAUCUUAUGCUGCUGGUAACCUCUUGAAACAGUUAAACAGCUCUAUAUAAGAGAUAAAUAAGCACAAAAAGAAACAAACAAGCCUGACUUCCAAGCAAAAUUCAGGGAUUUGUACUAUAAUGUAAAAAGGUUUAGUACUCAAAAAUAUUAUAAACUCUGAUGUGUUUUUGUGCCCCAGCUUGCUGGCAUAUGCCUAAAUGUCAUCUGUGUAGCUCUGCUAGGAAGUGGGAUUGUUGCCACCCUGAAGAAAACCAUUUUUCCUUUAAGAUCCACCUAUAAAGAUUUGAACUACAUCCUCAAAAAGAUUCCAAUGUCCCGCACAAAGGCUUCCUGGCUCAAGUAUUUUCAUUUCAUCCAUAUAUUUGAAAUUCUAUUGACUCUUAAUGUUGUUUGAUAUGUCAAUUGGCUGCCCUCUGUACCUCAGGAUGGUGUUCACCAAAAGGGUUUAAACCAGCACUGGAAAUCAAUAGACUUAAUUUUACAAGAAACCAUCCAGCAAUCUGAGACAGCACUUCUAAAGUAAGGAAAAUGAAAAUCAUAAGCAAGUGUGAUGCUAAAAAUCUGUCCAAGCAGACACCAACAAGCUGUAGUGAUACAAACUGAUAGAGCAGAGAAAAUCAUUCAAGUAAAUCACUGUUCUUUCAAUAAUCUGAAAUGAAAAAGCUGUUGUGUGAGAAGACUUGUAGCCUGUUAUUUUCUAGCACUGAGCCAGAAAAGGAAUGAAAAAUAAUUUCAAUUUGAAAAGCUACACAUAAGUAAAUACAAAGAAGCCUUUCUUAUAAUGCAGCUUGAAGCCAUGUCUUUGCAAAAAUGGGUUUCUAAUGCAAACCAAGAAGAAAGAGUACCUGAUGUAUAGAUUUUCUGGUAUCUGUAGUUUCUGAAUUAAAUAAAGAGGACAAUUAUUUCUUCAGUGAAGUGCUUUGGGGUUUACUGAUGACAUGUUCUGCAUAGAUGUAGAUAUUGCAUUGCUGCAGUGAUUGACAUGACUGUUCCAAACCUUUUGCAACCUUUGCUUCUUGUAGACACCUUCUGUGUAAUAUCUCAAGAUAUGUUCAAGACAGUUUGUUGUCUGAGCCCAAAACAUGUAAAUAUUCACUUAAAGCUCAGAGCGAUGUCCAGUGUUGGCAGUUUUGUUUCUUUGGUGUACUGCUGCAAAUUUCUGUACAAAGAAGCUUAAUGUCUUUACAGACCAUUCUGAGAAACUUGCCUGGUGUUCUCACAGAAAUAAAGAACCAACCAUGUACCAUUCAUCAUUUUUCUUCUCUCUCCUAUGCAAGCAUGGCAACAGCUGUUUUCAAAGCAAAGUAAAAAAGUGGAAAAAAAUCCUCAUUUCUACCACAGCAAAACAUUGCAUUGCACAUUCUAUUUGUGAAGAGGCAUAAAAUGAAAUGGUAGAUGGUAAUCAUACUGGUUCAUGCUGAACAUUACUGAUGCUCUGCUAAUGAAGCAAGAACAUAUUAGAGAACCUUUUAUGUAUCAGACAUGAUUCUUCAGAAAUCGGUUCAAGACUAAAAGUCGAUUGAAUAUAAUCGGUAUAUAGAUAAUGCCAACUAAUGCACAGGAAAUAGUUAACUCUGGAUAUUUCUGAAUAAAAAUCACUCAGCUUUUUUACUAAUUAGAAUGGAAUAUAAUCCAUAUUCCUGGCAAACAUAUACAUGGACAACUAGUCCACAUACGUAAAACUGAUGGGGUUUCAUUACACUGUGAAGAAGUAAAGUAUUGUGAGCCUGUCCUGUAAUUUAUUUUUAUUUAAACCAUUAUAAUUAAAUUGAUUUUAAAAAUCUACUGAGUAUUUAAACUGAGGUAUCUGAAAUCAAAAUUUGGCUUCAUGUUUAAGCAACCUAUUAGAUCAAAUUGUUAGGGAUAUUAAUUGGCCAUAAUUUUGUUUUUAAUCAUUUAAUGUGUUCUAAUAUUUACUGAGAAAGAGUCCUAAAUCCUUCCAGAUCCUUCAAGUGUUCUUGGGCAAGUGAAGGUGCUGUGAAAGUGCUCACAAUCUGACAUUUUAUGAAUUUAUCAAUAACUGUUGAUAGAGAAGCUGUCUGAUACAAAUAUAUUUACAGAAGUAUUUGUCAAGAAAGUGGAAAAUAACCUUUAAGUAAUUGUCUAAUUUAGCAAUAUUUUAAAGACUGAAAUGGAAGGACAUUCAACUCCAUAUUGACAUUCUCUUUGUUUAAAUGCAGUGUCGACAUUCAUUCAAAAACUAGCCUACUGGCAUAAAUAAGUUGAUAUCAACUUGGCAGCAUUUUUGAGUGCCUAGGUAAACAAUUGUCUUUUGUUAGCUUUUUUCCAUCAACCCACUAGUCCAUGCCCUUCGAACAACUCUAUAAGAAAGCAACAAUAAAAGCAGACAGACAAAUUGAUUAAAUUCCAACACAGAAAGGUCAGAAUGACAGAGGUACUGACCUUGAACUUCCAGGUUCAGCCAUGUGCAUUUUCCAUCUGCCUGCAGUGAGAGUGAAUCAGAGAUACCAUACGUAAUGUCAUUCACACUAAGAAAAACUUGCACAACUGAGUAUUCUCACUGAAUUGGGUGAGGCCAAAACCUGUGAAUCUGAAGCUUAUAUAUGCAAAGCCUCAGCCUAAUGUGGUAAUUAAUAAGGUCAUGGGCUUAUGUAUUACUGAAAUGAAACUAGAUACAGUGAUACCAACCGGCCCAUGAAAUCACCUUUGUGCCUUAUCUGUGAGCAUUGUCCUCAGAUUGAUUGUUUCUUUCUUUCUUUCUUUCUAAAUUUGACCUCUUGGAAUAUUAUGAGUUGUCUAUUGAGGAGUGAUAUGGGGAGUGAGCUGCCAGGAAUAUGGCAGUGCAGUGAGCCAAAAGGCUAGAAAAAGCGUAAUUGCAUUUGGUGUUGGUAUAUGUUAUGUCACAGCUUCUUGUCAAAGAUUUUUCAGAAUAUAUCAAACUGGCAAGUAAAUUGGUAUUAAGUUCCUCCAAAAGCCAGCAGGCUCAGCAACUUACCUUCUAGGUAACAGGCCUACUAUGGGCAGUAAAAAUUUAUUCAAUAUAUAGCAUGAAAACAAAAGUGUAGGUCAAAAUAGAUGGUUAUACAGAUUCUUUUCCACAGCUUGAUUUCUCCUUAAAAGAAGAAGCAAAUGUCAGUUUAUUCAGGUUUUUUUAUAUUCUCUAACAUCAGUGUGCCAUUUUGUGCCACCUUCCUACCUACCUCUAGAGACAGUUCACGUUGCUUGACUGAUGCAAAAAAAUACCAAUCUGAAGACUAAACAGACUUGUUUUUUCUCUUCUGUCAAAGAAGGAACUGGAAGAUUAUUGAAACCACCCCAGAACAUGAUGCACUUUUUCACUCAAAAGUAAAACUCUGCAAUACCUCAAAGUAUCUGUUACAUGUCAGUACGUUGUGGUUGCCAAAUCCAAGUACAAGUACAAGGCUGCCAAAAUUCAUGAUGGCAUAUACUAAUCUCCGAUUUAUUUUUUAGGCAACAAAUGACUAUAUGAAUCUCUCUAUUAAACCUAUCUGAUAUUACACUGAUGAUGGCUAUGAAAAAAACCCAGUUUGUGGGGAUAAUUAGUGCUGUAAGGUAAAGCAGGCUCUACAGAUUCUUCUGCUCAGCCUGUUUUGCAGCAUAAAUUAUGGGUUUCCACUACUAUUUCCUUGCCAAGGUAAAUAGUGUGGGGCAAAACAAGCAAUACAAGUGCAGGAUGUAGUGAUAUUAAUAAUGUGGAAAAACUGGUUAGAACACCUCCAGAUGAAUCUAGUACCAAGUUGGAUAGGUUGUUUUGAACCUCUGCAGCUCAGAGUACCAUUGAGAAAGUAAGUGGUAUAAGAGAUGUCCUAAAACCAUCUUAGGGGGUUGGGUUUUUUUGGCGGGGAAAAAGUGAUUUUUAGUAAUAACUCCAAAUGAGCAAAACUUGUUUUCAUUUCUGAUGGAUGCAGCUUAACUGGGAGAACUUGGGGAGAUGCACACAGUGCUUCCACAAUGUAAUUAAUUUAGCAACAAACACGCCAGCUGCGUUAUUCAGACCAUGCAAGCCUUGCUACUCUUAGGGUAAGACAAUGACCCAGCAGAAGCUUGGAGAGCAGCUCUGUCAGACUUCACAUAUAGCAUGUAAGUUAGCUUCCCAUAUUACUACCAACAAUUUCCAUCAUCCACCAAAGAACUCGCUGGAAACCAGCAGGUCUCAUUUAGGGAAAAAGGCAGAACAAGUGUCAUGCUGGAAGAAGCCCUGUGAGACAAAACGGUGAUGCAAAAGUGGAUGGAGUAAGGCUGAUAUCCCAGUAUACAAAAAACUAAUACAAACAUUCAGGAUGUAACCUACUAGACGCCAUGAUUGAGCCAAAGGACAUAUUCUCCUCAUUUGCAGCCCUGUGUUUGGCAUCUCCUGUGUAAGCAGAUCCAACUCUUUGGCAUAUGCAUCACUGUCACUUUUACAAUGGUAUUAACACACCAGGUUGCAUGGUGCUAAGUAAAAAGUCAAAGAAACUGAAGAGAAAAGAGAAAGAAUAUAUGGUGAAAGGGUCUGAACUUCAAAGAAGUUGGAAGAAGUUACGUGAGGUAGUGAAUGUGAUUUAACAUUCUACUUCCUUCUCCUUUCUUCUUUGACACCUUGCUUACUGAUAUGGGUGAUAAUAAUUUAUUACACAAUGCACACUCUAAAUGCAUGACAGGUUGCAAAAAAAAAAAAAAGAGCAGGAAAAAUGUGGAUAGAAUAACAGUUACUUGUUAGCAUCCCUGACCCUAGGAAGAGCCCUUUCUUUCAAAUUUGGUGUCUUUUUGCAAUUAGAUAGCAGAUAUUCAAGUUGUGCUUCAUCUGACAUCAGGGUAGGAUAUGAUUUAGGAAGAACAAAGCAGAAAAAAUGCCUUUUGCUUGUUGCAUUUGCCUGUCUAUGGGGUAAGAGCUAGCUCUGGAGGAAAUGCAGCUUGAUUUUGCCCGUAAUUGUUUAGAUCCAUACAUGGUUAAUAGAAAGCAGUUUUACACUUCAUCUAGUUUAUUAGAGUGUGUUUAUGGACUCAAUAUUGCUGUUGUUUGUGCUGUGUCAUCACUGGAAGAAAAUAAUUUUGAAGGAAUUGCUUGAGGUAGGGUCACAAUUUUUUCUUCCUCUUUUAACUUUAGGGUUUUAUUCCCCUCCCUUAGCCCCCAAACAAAAGAAGUCAGAAACAGGUCUUGUAUUACUUUUGGGAUUAUUCUUUGUACAUGUCUUUUGUAUUCAUAGCUUUGGUUUGACUCCACAGAGGAGAAAGGCAGCACCAGGCCAGGUUUACUGGCAAGGGCAAGUGACUGCAGUCUGUCCAUAGUGAGGCAACUUUUGGGAGACUGAUGCAGAGCAACCCUUCUCUCCACAGCAUGGAUGGGUUUGGCACAGGGUGCUUGCAGGAGUAUGGGAUUGUGUGCACAGCAAUUGGAAUGUAACCCAAAACCCAAGACUGGAAAAUACAGCUAACACUUUCCCUCAUUGUUAUGAAAAUAUUUUUUGUGUUAAGAAAACGUGAGAUUGCAGUCAAAUAGUGUGCAUGGAGAAGGGUCUCUUUGCAGUGGCAGGCACAAGUGAUGAUUAGGGCUUUCUUCAAUAGGCAGGACAAAGAAGAU